rnacentral:rRNA from 1 species
UGCAGUCGAACGAGAACGUUUUCUUCGGAAGAUUAUUAAAGUGGCGAACGGGUGAGUAACGCGUAGGUAACGUGCCUCUUAGUUUGGGAUAAGCAUUGGAAACGAUGUCUAAUACCGGAUGUGAUCUAACACUUUAGUGUUGGAUUAAAGGCUUCGGCUGCUAAGAGAUCGGCCUGCGUUAGACUAGCUAGUUGGUGAGGUAAUGGCUCACCAAGGCAACGAUCUAUAGCGGAUCUGAGAGGGUGAUCCGCCACACUGGGACUGAGAUACGGCCCAGACUCCUACGGGAGGCAGCAGUGAGGAAUAUUGCACAAUGGACGAAAGUCUGAUGCAGCAAUACCGCGUGAACGAAGAAGGUCUAUGGAUUGUAAAGUUCUGUCAAGAGGGAAGAAUAAGUUGGUUUGUAGCCGACUCUGACGGUACCUCUAAAGGAAGCACCGGCUAACUCCGUGCCAGCAGCCGCGGUAAUACGGGGGGUGCAAGCGUUGUCCGGAAUCAUUGGGCGUAAAGGGUUCGUAGGUGGAAUUGUAAGUCUGGUGUGAAAGCCCACAGCUUAACUGUGGAACUGCACUGGAUACUGCUUUUCUUGAAUUACAGAGGGGGUUGUGGAACUUCUGGUGUAGAGGUGAAAUUUGUAGAGAUCAGAAAGAACACCGGUGGCGAAGGCGACAACCUGGCUGUUAAUUGACACUAAUGAACGAAAGCGUGGGGAGCGAACAGGAUUAGAUACCCUGGUAGUCCACGCAGUANACGAUGGAUACUCGUUGUCGGGCAAGUUAUUGUUCGGUGACCAAGCUAACGCAUUAAGUAUCCCGCCUGGGGAGUACGAUCGCAAGGUUGAAACUC